GACGAACGCUGGCGGCGUGCUUAACACAUGCAAGUCGAACGAAGUGGCGCACGGGUGAGUAACGCGUAAACAACCUGACCUUCAGAGGGGGAUAACAGUGGGAAACGACUGCUACUACCGCCUACUGAAGAAGGGGAUUGCGUUCGAUUAGCUGGUGGGAGGGGUAACGGCCCACCAAGGCGAUGAUCAGGAGCCGGUCUGCGAGGAUGGACGGGCACAUUGGGACUUGGACACGGCCCAGACUCCUACGGGAGGGAGCAGGGGGGAAUCUUCCGCAAUGGACGAAAGUCUGACGGAGCAACGCCGCGUGAGUGAUGACGGCCUUCUGGUUGUAAAGCGCUGUUAAUCGGGACGCGGUACCGGAAUAGAAAGCCACGGCUAACUACGUGCCAGCAGCCGCGGUAAUAC
rnacentral:rRNA from 1 species